rnacentral:rRNA from 1 species
UACGUAGGGGGCAAGCGUUGUCCGGAAUCAUUGGGCGUAAAGAGCGUGUAGGCGGCUUGGCAAGUCUGACGUGAAAGCCCGCGGCUCAACCGCGGUAGGUCGUUGGAAACUGCCUGGCUAGAGUCCGGAAGAGGAGAGCGGAAUUCCUGGUGUAGCGGUGGAAUGCGCAGAUAUCAGGAGGAACACCAGUGGCGAAGGCGGUGCUCUGGGCCGGAACUGACGCUGAGGAGCGAAAGCGUGGGGAGCAAACAGG